GAUGAACGCUGGCGGCGUGCCUAAUACAUGCAAGUCGAGCGAACAGACGAGGAGCUUGCUCCUCUGACGUUAGCGGCGGACGGGUGAGUAACACGUGGAUAACCUACCUAUAAGACUGGGAUAACUUCGGGAAACCGGAGCUAAUACCGGAUAAUAUAUUGAACCGCAUGGUUCAAUAGUGAAAUACGGUUUUUCUGUCUCUUAUAGAUGGAUCCGCGCCGCAUUAGCUAGUUGGUGAGGUAACGGCUUACCAAGGCGACGAUGCGUAGCCGACCUGAGAGGGUGAUCGGCCACACUGGAACUGAGACACGGUCCAGACUCCUACGGGAGGCAGCAGUAGGGAAUCUUCCGCAAUGGGCGAAAGCCUGACGGAGCAACGCCGCGUGAGUGAUGUAGGUCUUCGGAUCGUAAAACUCUGUUAUGAGGGAAGAACAAAUGUGUAAGUAACUAUGCACGUCUUGACGGUACCUAAUCAGAAAGCCACGGCUAACUACGUG
rnacentral:rRNA from 1 species